rnacentral:lncRNA from 1 species
CAGUGAGAUGGUCAGCUUAUAGAUUCAUGAUAGAAUAGUGAGAAAAUUGGGUGAGGUCCGAUAUAUACCCAGCUUUAGAAAUAAUCUGAUUUCACUAAGCAGAUUGGAGUAAAACAGCUACAGAUAGAGAGCUGAUGAUGGAAUCUUGAAGAUCAUAUGAAGUAGUGGGGUUGUGAUGAAAGAAAAAAGUAUAGAGGAUACUACCUCUUGGUAGAAAGCUCAGCGUGAGGUGGAGCUU